rnacentral:rRNA from 1 species
AACGUAGGAGACAAACGUUAUCCGGAGUUACUGGGCGUAAAGGGCGUGUAGGUGGUUUCGUAAGUCUGGCGUGAAAUUUUUCGGCUUAACCGGGAAAGGUCGUCGGAUACUGCGGGACUGGAGGACGGUAGAGGCGUGUGGAAUUCCGGGUGUAGUGGUGAAAUGCGUAGAGAUCCGGAGGAACACCAGUGGCGAAGGCGGCACUCUGGGCCGGUACUGACGCUGAGGAGCGAAAGCGUGGGGAGCAAACAGG